UACGUAGGGUGCAAGCGUUAAUCGGAAUUACUGGGCGUAAAGCGUGCGCAGGCGGUGAUGUAAGACAGAUGUGAAAUCCCCGGGCUCAACCUGGGAACUGCAUUUGUGACUGCAUCGCUGGAGUACGGCAGAGGGGGAUGGAAUUCCACGUGUAGCAGUGAAAUGCGUAGAGAUGUGGAGGAACACCGAUGGCGAAGGCAGCCCCCUGGGCUGAGAUUGACGCUCAGGCACGAAAGCGUGGGGAGCAAACAGG
rnacentral:rRNA from 1 species